rnacentral:rRNA from 1 species
GACGAACGCUGGCGGCGUGCUUAACACAUGCAAGUCGAACGAAGUGGCGAACGGGUGAGUAACGCGUAAUCAACCUGCCCUUCAGAGGGGGACAACAGUUGGAAACGACUGCUAAUGCCGCAUACUGAAGUGGGGGAUUGCGUCUGCUUAGCUAGUUGGGGGGGUAACGGCCCCCCAAGGCGCUGAUCAGUAGCCGGGCUGGGGGGAGGAACGGCCACAUUGGGACUGAGACACGGCCCAGAAUCCUACGGGAGGCAUCAGUGGGGAAUCUUCCGCAAUGGACGAAAGUCUGAAGGCGCAACGCAGCGGGAGUGAUGACGGCCUUCGGGUUGUAAAGCUCUGGUAAGCGGGACGCGGUACCGGAAUAGAAAGCCACGGCUAACUACGUGCCAGCAGCCGCGGUAAUUC